GGUUCGAUGGUGUAGUUGGUUAUCACGUCUGUCUCACAUUUGCGACGAGCUGCAGAACGUGUGCACAGGAGGUCUCCGGUUCGAACCCGGGUCGAACCC